AACGAACGCUGGCGGCAUGCCUAACACAUGCAAGUCGAACGAGACCUUCGGGUCUAGUGGCGCACGGGUGCGUAACGCGUGGGAACCUGCCCUUAGGUUCGGAAUAACUCCCCGAAAGGGGUGCUAAUACCGGAUAAUGUCUUCGGACCAAAGAUUUAUCGCCUUUGGAUGGGCCCGCGUUGGAUUAGCUAGUUGGUAGGGUAAAAGCCUACCAAGGCGACGAUCCAUAGCUGGUCUGAGAGGAUGAUCAGCCACACUGGGACUGAGACACGGCCCAGACUCCUACGGGAGGAAGAAGGGGGGAAAAUGGGAAAAGGGGCGAAAGCCUGAUCAAGCAAUGCCGCGGGAGGGAGGAAGGCCUUAGGUUUGUAAAGCUCUUUUACCCGGAAUGAUAAUGAAAGUACCGGGAGAAUAAGCUCCGGCGAACUCCGU
rnacentral:rRNA from 1 species